UUCCUCACAAUUAAGCAGGACAUGCAAAUGCACAAUAGCUAAUUCUUUCUCAUUCAAAUAAUGACUCUUACAAGUUCCUCCUGGACGACCAACAUGAUUGAAAACUGAUAAAGUUGUUUGGCUCGUGUCAUUUUGACCUCCAAAAUCAUUUCGACCAACUUUAGUUCUCAUUGAUUGGACAUGUGACUCAAAAUAAUAUGA
rnacentral:lncRNA from 1 species